rnacentral:rRNA from 1 species
UUAAGAUAUAUGUGGUACAGGAUUAGAUACCCCAUUAAUAUAAUUUUUAAAUUUUCUUAGUUUUUUAACUAAAAUAGUUUGGCAGCGAGCGAACCCUAUUAGGGGAAGGUGUGUUGUAAAGGAUGAUCCGCCUAUUAAUUUACUUUUAUUAUGUUGGUGUAUAUCUGGUUUGAUAUUAUUGCUUUAGUAGUUUAAUUUGUGUAUUUAUAAAUUAAGCCAAGUCUAUGUGCUGCUUGUAAAAGAUUUCAUGCGUUACAUUUAUAAAUAUAUUGAUGUAAGGGAAUUUAUAUAUUGAGGA